UUUUCCCUUACAAACCGCCAAUAUAAAGCAUCUAGAUAAGUUUGUGAUCGAUUCACUUACCUUGCCUAUAACAAGAACGAUUCAUAGAAUAAAUAUCUGAUACUUUGUGUUAUACUGUUUUAUUAAUUCAUUGUUUUAAGAUGACUUAGAGACAAAGCGCCAUUGUAGAGUGAUGAGCAUUGUUCAAUUAGUACGUGUUAUAAACAUGUGACGCUACUCCCUCUACUCUACUAUUAUAAAAGGUAAACUGCGGUGAUGAAUCUAGUUUAGCCAAUAAGUCUAAUCAUGAUUGAGUGGACGUUUCUUCUAUUUAGCUUGAGCGUAGUCUCACCUUAUCAUGAAAAGACGACGGGUCGUUGCCUAUGGCACAAUAAUACAUGUGUAGACAAGUGUCCAGAAUGGAUGAUUCAACGGAUAAGCAAUUGUUCUCAGACAUAUUGGCGAGCUCAGAGAACUUGUGAACAUCCAGACCAGGCGCUUGUAGGAACUGUUUGUGGAUUCUCAAGAUGCGACUGUCCUGAUCCUAUGGUUUUAGAUACGGAAACCGGAUUUUGUUAUGAUGUAGACAAUUGUCCAACAAAACAUCAAAUGUAAAUAUGAAACUCGGUUAUGGAUCACAAAUAAAGUAAAGAAUGAUAAAUUUUAUUGAUGUGAUUGGAUUUAUGUUUAGUUAAAUAAAAAAACACCUUUAUCCAA